rnacentral:rRNA from 1 species
UACGGGGGGAGCAAGCGUUAUCCGGAUUCACUGGGUUUAAAGGGUGCGUAGGAGGGCAGGUAAGUCAGUGGUGAAAUCUCCGAGCUUAACUUGGAACUGCCGUUGAUACUAUCUGCCUUGAAUAUUGUGGAGGUGAGCGGAAUAUGUCAUGUAGCGGUGAAAUGCUUAGAUAUGACAUAGAACACCAAUUGCGAAGGCAGCUCGCUACACAUAUAUUGACUCUGAGGCACGAAAGCGUGGGGAUCAAACAGG